GUAUUUUUCCAUUCCCGUUUUUCUUUUUUUUUGCCUUGAAUCUGGUUUUGUUGAUUGUUGUUUUGGUAGAUUGAACUCCUAGGAUCCCCAACAAACUGGUAUCAGAGCUAGGAGGAGUGAUAUUAGUCCAAAAAUCGAUCAAAAACCAGCAAGAAAUCACCAUUUUCACAUUCUAACCGAAUCUGAAAAACUUGAUUUCCGGCCAACCGAUUGACUUUCCGGCGAAAUGGACCAUGGAACCAUGACCAGCAGGAGGAGGCGCACCCUGUGGUGGGGCGCGUGACCGGCGGCGGCGGCUCCGGCUCCGGCGGCCGGACCUCCGGCGAGC
rnacentral:lncRNA from 1 species